UACGGAGGGUGCAAGCGUUGUCCGGAUUUAUUGGGUUUAAAGGGUGCGUAGGCGGUUCUAUAAGUCAGUGGUGGAAUCCGGCAGCUCAACUGUCGAUGUGCCAUUGAUACUGCAGAACUUGAGUACAGACGAGGUAGGCGGAAUUGACGGUGUAGCGGUGAAAUGCUUAGAUAUCGUCAAGAACACCGAUAGCGAAGGCAGCUUACUAGACUGUAACUGACGCUGAUGCACGAAAGUGUGGGGAUCAAACAGG
rnacentral:rRNA from 1 species